ACGGAAGGCAGCAGUGGGGAAUAUUGCACAAUGGGCGAAAGCCUGAUGCAGCGACGCCGCGUGAAGGAUGAAGUAUUUCGGUAUGUAAACUUCUAUCAGCAGGGAAGAAAAUGACGGUACCUGACUAAGAAGCUCCGGCUAAAUACGUGCCAGCAGCCGCGGUAAUACGUAUGGAGCAAGCGUUAUCCGGAUUUACUGGGUGUAAAGGGAGCGUAGACGGUUUGCCAAGUCUGAUGUGAAAGGUGGGGGCUCAACCCCCAAACUGCAUUGGAAACUGGUAGACUAGAGUGUCGGAGAGGUAAGUGGAAUUCCUAGUGUAGCGGUGAAAUGCGUAGAUAUUAGGAGGAACACCAGUGGCGAAGGCGGCUUACUGGACGAUAACUGACGUUGAGGCUCGAAAGCGUGGGGAGCAAACAGGAUUAGAUACCCUGGUA
rnacentral:rRNA from 1 species